UGUUGCGUGGCCAGUAUUUCAUUGGACCGGUGCAGUUGCGGUGAAAACGCGCAGCCAACGUGGCCGAGAGUUCAAAGUAAGAAGCGCCAUGUGUCUGGGAAGAAGAGAGGAGGAAGCACGAUCACUGGAGCAGCGGGUGGCCGGAGAAGUCGUUGGAGAAAAGAUAAUAGGCUAACUCAUGCUGACGCUGGCUGACAACUCCAGAGAAGGCUGAAAGCAUUUUGCUGCAGCUUAAGAAAAUAAGCUCCAGGAUUGUGCAAUGCUGUUGAUGGUCUUGAUGUAUGUUGAGAGACAAAUACGUCUGUUGCUGGUUUCCAGACCCAGCUCAGAAGAGCAAUAGGUAAGAGCAGUAAGUACUUUGGAAUCAUCUGCAAGAUCUCUUCCAAGCUGCACACCAUACUCGAUAUUUAUCCAGAUUGAAGAUUGGUUAUUGUUAUUCAGAACAUGAGUGUGAAGGAGGACAGAAUAAUUGUCACUUUAUGUCAGAUGCCGCAUAGAAAAACACAAUAAACACAAAAAUCACAAUAAAUAUGAAUAUAAAAACAACCU